rnacentral:lncRNA from 1 species
UGUAAAUGAAAAAAAUAAAUUAAAAAACAUUUACCCAGGGCCCAUAGCAUGGGGAGGUGACACAGGCUGAUGGUCAGGGGUUCGUCAAGAACCGUCCCAUGGACCAUCUACCCAGGAGGGGAGGCGAUGACACAGGGAUAUGUGACCAGGAUUCGGGAACGCAGGGAGCCACAGUGGGGACAGCCCAGCACACGGGCCCAGCCAGGCAUGGGGACCCAAGCCCCCAAUGUAAUGGGAGUCCCUGGAAGUGAAUGUCAGAGUCAGGUGCAGAAGGCAGUGUGGCUCCAGAGCCCACCCCAACCCCAGCAGGGGCAUCGGCAGCUCUGGAGGCAGGGGUGGUGUCAGGAGUGACUCCCGCAGCGACCCAGGAACCUGCAGGUGACCCAGCACCUGUGGAAGGACAGCCGGGUCCUGCCUCUGAUCCUGCUUCUGCCUCUGCCCCUCCUGUCCCUGCCUCUGUCACUGCUGCUCCUCCUGCCCCUGUAAGCCUGGCAGCCACCCUGGGGGAGCCUGGAGACCUGCCAGGGAAGAUCUCUGCUGUUCCAUCCCUCGCCCCUGACACCCCAGGGGAUCGUAUAUUGAUUUUCAUCAUUAUUUUUUUAAUAUUUUAUUUUAACACCUCUAGAAGAAUGAAUGUUAAAUAAAAAUUUUAUUUGCUUUUAAAAAAAAAAGGAUUAAACAAGGUAAAGCCAUACAGGCAAAUUAAAAUAUUAAGUUCCGUCACUUUGGGUAGUACUGUAUCAACUUGACUAAUGUCAGUUGAUUACUUCAUGCUAAGCAGAUUUGGAAACUGUAUAUACCCUUGAUAAAUUAACAACGAAUAUGAACAUGUUAACAAUGAACUAUGAACAUGGCAACAUAAUAACAUUACUAACAUAAUUUUUCAUAGAAAAAAUUUCUCAAUAUAUUAUGAAAAUGAGGGGGCGGGAUUAAUAAAAAGAAUCCCUAGGGAGUGAAAAGG